rnacentral:rRNA from 1 species
UAGGGAAUCUUCCACAAUGGACGCAAGUCUGAUGGAGCAACGCCGCGUGAGUGAAGAAGGUUUUCGGAUCGUAAAGCUCUGUUGUUGGUGAAGAAGGAUAGAGGCAGUAACUGGUCUUUAUUUGACGGUAAUCAACCAGAAAGUCACGGCUAACUACGUGCCAGCAGCCGCGGUAAUACGUAGGUGGCAAGCGUUGUCCGGAUUUAUUGGGCGUAAAGCGAGCGCAGGCGGAAUGAUAAGUCUGAUGUGAAAGCCCACGGCUCAACCGUGGAACUGCAUCGGAAACUGUCAUUCUUGAGUGCAGAAGAGGAGAGUGGAACUCCAUGUGUAGCGGUGGAAUGCGUAGAUAUAUGGAAGAACACCAGUGGCGAAGGCGGCUCUCUGGUCUGCAACUGACGCUGAGGCCCGAAAGCAUGGGUAGCGAACAGGAUUAGAUACCCUGGUAGUCCAUGCCGUAAACGAUGAGCGCUAGGUGUUGGGGACUUUCCGGUCCUCAGUGCCGCAGCAAACGCAUUAAGCGCU